CCUACGGGAGGCUGCAGUGAGGAAUAUUGGUCAAUGGGCGCGAGCCUGAACCAGCCAAGUAGCGUGAAGGAUGACUGCCCUACGGGUUGUAAACUUCUUUUAUAAGGGAAUAAAGUGAGGCACGUGUGCCUUUCUGUAUGUACUUUAUGAAUAAGGAUCGGCUCACUCCGUGCCAGCAGCCGCGGUAAUACGGAGGAUCCGAGCGUUAUCCGGAUUUAUUGGGGUUAAAGGGAGCGUAGGUGGGUAGUUAAGGCAGUUGUGAAAGUUUGCGGCUCAACCGUAAAAUUGCAAUUGAUACUGGCAGUCUUGAGUACAGGUGAGGUAGGCGGAAUUCGUGGUGUAGCGGUGAAAUGCUUAGAUAUCACGAAGAACUCCGAUUGCGAAGGCAGCUUACUAAACUGCCACUGACAUUGAUGCUCGAAAGUGUGGGUAUCAAACAGGAUUAGAUACCCUUGUAGUC
rnacentral:rRNA from 1 species